rnacentral:rRNA from 1 species
UACGUAGGGGCGAGCGUUGUCCGGAAUGAUUGGGCGUAAAGGGCGCGUAGGCGGCUUGUUAAGUCUGGAGUGGAAGUCCUCUUUUCAAGGGAGGAAUUGCUUUGGAAACUGGCGGGCUUGAGUGCAGGAGAGGUUAUCGGAAUUCCCGGUGUAGCGGUGAAAUGCGUAGAGAUCGGGAGGAACACCAGUGGCGAAGGCGGGUAACUGGACUGCAACUGACGCUGAGGCGCGAAAGUGUGGGGAGCAAACAGGAUUAGAUACCCCGGUAGUCCCUGAGCGGG